rnacentral:rRNA from 1 species
GACGAACGCUGGCGGCGUGCUUAACACAUGCAAGUCGAACGAAGUGGCGAACGGGUGAGUAACGCGUAAUCAACCUGCCCUUCAGAGGGGGACAACAGUUGGAAACGACUGCUAAUACCGCAUACUGAAGGAGGGGAUUGCGUCUGAUUAGCUAGUUGGAGGGGUAACGGCCCACCAAGGCGAUGAUCAGUAGCCGGGGUUGGGGGAUGAACGGCCACAAUGGGACUUGAGCACGGGCCAGACUCCUACGGGAGGCAGCAGUGGGGAAACUUCCGCAAUGGACGAAAGUCUGACGGAGCAACGCCGCGUGAGUGAUGACGGCCUUCGGGUUGUAAAGCUCUGUUAAGCGGGACGCGGUACCGGAAUAGAAAGCCACGGCUAACUACGUGCCAGCCGCCGCGGUAAUAC